AGCUUUACAGGCAUUAGGUAUACCUGCUGAUGUUGAGAGGAAUUUCCCUUUAAGAGCCAGUCCUCGGCUGACUUUGCUUGGCCAUCAGAUCCACACACUCUACAAGUGGAUGAUCAGCAUCAAGAGACAUGUGCUCUGUCAGAGCACAACAUUUCAGUCACGACUUGCAACCCUCUUUGUGGUAUUCUAUGUUUUCAACCUCCAGUAUUAGGACAAGGCCUCCCAGACCCUGGAAUUCUUUGAAAGUUCGUUUUGUGCUUUGGAUUACUCACCGGUCGCUUCUCCUAGCGCUGAAGACUGGCUCCCGAAUCCCCACCGCUCAGAUCCUGCUUUGGCAUUCCCCUCGAGUCCUCUUGGUGUUACCAAGAGUUCCCGUCCCUGGCUUCACCCCGGUUUCUUUAGCUGCUCUCUGUU